rnacentral:scRNA from 1 species
GGGGAACGGAUACCCGACAUGCUACAAAAUCG